GGAUUGGGGUUAGGGUUUGGGUUCGGGCUACUGUUCUGGUUCAGGUAAGGGUUCAGGUUAGGGCUAGGGUUCGGGUCAGGGUAAGGGUUCGGGCAACUGUUCUGGUCAGGUUCGGGUUCAGGUUCGGGUUCGGGUUCGGGUUCGGGUUAGCUUUAGGGUUAGGGUUCGGGUUAGGUUUAUGGUAUGGGUUAGGAUUAUGGUUCAGGGUUAGGGUUCGGGUUAGGGUUAGGGUUCGGGUUCGGGUUCGGGUUCGGGUUCGGGUUAGGGUUCGGGU
rnacentral:lncRNA from 1 species